rnacentral:rRNA from 1 species
AUUGAACGCUGGCGGCAGGCCUAACACAUGCAAGUCGAACGGUAACAGGAAGAAGCUUGCUUCUUUGCUGACGAGUGGCGGACGGGUGAGUAAUGUCUGGGAAACUGCCUGAUGGAGGGGGAUAACUACUGGAAACGGUAGCUAAUACCGCAUAACGUCGCAAGACCAAAAGGGGGACCUUCGGGCCUCUUGCCAUCGGAUGUGCCCAGAUGGGAUUAGCUAGUAGGUGGGGUAACGGCUCACCUAGGCGACGAUCCCUAGCUGGUCUGAGAGGAUGACCAGCCACACUGGAACUGAGACACGGUCCAGACUCCUACGGGAGGCAGCAGUGGGGAAUAUUGCACAAUGGGCGCAAGCCUGAUGCAGCCAUGCCGCGUGUAUGAAGAAGGCCUUCGGGUUGUAAAGUACUUUCAGCGGGGAGGAAGGGAGUAAAGUUAAUACCUUUGCUCAUUGACGUUACCCGCAGAAGAAGCACCGGCUAACUCCGUG